rnacentral:rRNA from 1 species
UACGUAGGGUGCGAGCGUUAAUCGGAAUUACUGGGCGUAAAGCGUGCGCAGGCGGUUUUGUAAGCCAGAUGUGAAAUCCCCGGGCUUAACCUGGGAAUGGCAUUUGGGACUGCAAGGCUGGAGUGCGGCAGAGGAGACUGGAAUUCCUGGUGUAGCAGUGAAAUGCGUAGAUAUUGGGAGGAACACCAGUGGCGAAGGCGGCUUACUGGACCGGUUCUGACGCUGAGGCGCGAAAGCGUGGGGAGCAAACGGG